CUUUCGAGGCCUCACUUAGCAAAAAUACUGCGUUACUUUCGAUUAGCAAUAAGGGAUGUUUUACUAACGUGAUAGCAAUAUGCUUGUUUUACUUGGAUUUAGUAAAAAAGCGGGCUUACUAGCCGCUUUGUUCGGAUAGCAGCCGCCGGCUACUAGAAAAAAAAACAAUUCGACGCGAAUCUGUGCGCUUGACAAAAAUAGGUAGAUGUUGGCGGAACCUGUGGAGACGGGGCUAACAAAGUCAGCGACCAUAGUGUAUACAGGAAGAAACCAAUGAACGAACGGUUGUUGGGCGGUUACGAAAACGGGCUCACUGCUGGCGGAGCAUUUGAUUGUCAAGUGGACGACGGAACGGUGGAUUAAUUGAUAUCGGAAGUGUACAGGUUGCUUCUGCCGGCCAUCAUUGCCACAAUGAUCGACAGAAAGGAAGCGAAUUUGCAGAUCUACCGCAUUAUUUUGCACCCAGGCGGAAGACCAGUUUUGAAGAUCAAGUGCAAAAAGUGUUUAGUGAAAUGAUCUUUUUUUAAAUAAAUGGAGUGAAAGAA